rnacentral:lncRNA from 1 species
GGCGGGAAUUGCGCGUCCCGGUAUGCACCGUGCUCCGUGGCGAGACGGGCCUAUAAUGUGGCCCUCACGGUUCGGGUUCGUUUGUUUCAGAAGCUCGUUAAAGUUCGUUGUGUUAGGUGCGCGAAUCUCGCGGUUGUUCUGGAGCAGCACGACGUGCCUCAGACCGUAAGGUCCCGCCUACCGUGCAGUGAGUCGUUCACAGCUGCAGAAGGGAAAUCCCAACGACGUGAGUGAUUUUAUUUCAAAGCACAUGCCCUGGCCUAGCCCAUGCUUGCACCCAAGAGGCAGCGAGGAGAGAAGCACCAACCACAGCCUCAUCACUCCCACACGCCCAUGAGUUGCCUUCUUUCUGCUUAAUGAGUGACUACAGAACAGGCACAAAAGGCACUUGGCCUUCCCAAGUUCACAGCAGAUCCUUUAGGAAGGAUGGCUAACGCUGAGCAGUACUGAGCAGCAGCAAGUGUACAACUGGGACUGAAAUAACUCUGCUCAUGCCAGAAGAGAGCAAAGCUGUAACAUACACAGUUUGAGAACUUUUGACGUGGGAAAAGCUAUGCUUUUAUAAUUCUAAACGAAACAUACAUAAAACGGCAUUUUCAACACUAGUGGUGGUUAGUCCAGGCCAUCUGCCAAUGGGAGCAUGAUGAAGAAAACCACAAAUAAGCUGGAGGAUGUGAAACAACAACACAACAUUUAUAUUCUAUUACUGUUGAAAAACAGGGACAGAAAGUAUAGAGAAACUGUCUUUGGCAUUUGCUUCCUUUAAACAAAAAGUUACUUACCUUAACUUUUGCUUAUAAAUGCACUUUUCAUCUGCUGGGGGAAACACUGCUCAGAGAGGGCCCCCAAAAAAUCCAAUUCAGUGGUUUUCGCUUUAUUCCUUCACCCAUGAGGUUGGGGUAACUCUCACCACCCCGGUCAGCCCAGUUGGAAGCCAGUGUGCACCCUCCUUCAUGUAACCCAGUUCAGAGAGAACGAACAAGCAUUAGAUUUAAGCUGCCCCAUUUCUGCAUUUGCUCUACGCAGAGCUCAGGGCAGAGAGCCAAUGCUGUCUUUGUGUGUACAAAAAUAACUGAGCCCUGACUUUUCCUCUUAGAUCCUGGCAAGGAAGGUUAGGAAUUCACUCACCUACAGCAAAGUUGUGCCCCUUUAACAGCCCCUCCAGGACUGUGUUUGCCUGUCCUGUGGGACAGGUGAUGCGUGAGAUUUCAUUUCAUUUUCUCAAGACGUGACAUUUUUGUUGGCUCGUGGAAGGGGAAGAUAUCUCAUGCCCCACUACAGAUCUUUGCAUGCAUGAGCACAACCGAGGGCAGACAAAGCCUCUGCGUUCCCAGGAGACCCUGUGAAGUGGGAUGUACUGUGAGGGGGGACAAGACUCCCCGAGAAGUGUCUAUCAUGAAGGAAGAGCGAUCAUUUUGGGAAGAGCAGGUGUUCUGGGCCUCUUCUACAGUGCCUGAAUCAUCUGGGACACAGGCAGAUCCCUGCACUAUGGAACAGGGAAGAAAAAUGGCACUGAGCUCUCAUGUAGUUGCUGCAGUUUGGAAUCUGAUGACCUUCACUGAUCAUGUUCAUCAAAACACACUUUGAAUUAAAUUACAGUAAAUCCAGUGAAGACCCUUUUCAUGCUAAUUGAGUAUGCAUGGACCACUCUGAUUCAAAUUCAGUGUAAAGGCGCUUAAUAGCUCACUUCAUACUCACAUUUUUAAGACACUAUAAAAAAACCUUGAAAACACAACACAAACAUAACUAAGUGUUCUCAGACAAGGGGGUCUCCCAGAAUAAUGCAAAGUAAGUUUAUCUAUGGAGGUGUUUGAGGAAAGGGUGGGUGCAGUACUUAGGGACAAGUUUUAGUGGGCAGCAUUGGUGCUAGGUGAACAGCUGGACUGGAUGAUCUUAAAGGUCUUUUCUAAGCCUACUGAUUCCAUGAUUCUAUGAUUCUAUGAACGUAAAACAUCAGGAUUUUCUAAGCUACUACAUAAAGCUAAGGAAAUGCCAUCUAGAAAUGUCUUGCUCACUACAGAAGCUGUAACUGCUGAGUGCACAACGCAGACAUCAGAGCAAAGAUCCCAGCUAUGGGCCCUCCACAUGCCCUCCUGACUCAUCACAGUCUUCCUGCUAACCGGGGCAUGAGGCACUGCCUACAGCAGAGAUCAAAGCAGGGCCAGAGCUGGGCAAAUGGGCUGAGAGACAAAAAAGCCACAAAUGGAGCUGCACACUUACUAAUGAAAGCCAGGGCUUUGCAGGCAUCAGGGCAAAAUGACCACAAUGGGAUGGCAAAAAGCUGGUUCUUCCUGAUUUACCGAACUUGAUGAGGGAGAGUCAUGUGUGGAAGGGGGGUCUCUUGUUGGGGUGAGCCAGAUGCAGGGUGAUCCAGUGGCAGCCAGGAAAGAGGAUGGGAGUUUGGACCUUCUCGAGGGGCAGAAACACACAGAGGUCUUACCGCAGCCUUGGUGUGGAGUCUCUCAGUUAACUGAGCUCUUGAGCAAUGUCUUGUCUCUGACCAUUCCCAAAGUGGCUUCUUAAAACUGAAAAACCAACUGACUGACUUCCUUUCAAUGUAUCUGAUAGUUAAAAGAAAACACUCUGGCAAAUGACACUGCAUCUCAAGACAGGUUUUGAUCAGCUGGAGCAGCCAGUGCCCUUUGAAGUGUGCUGUACAUCACUGACUUGGCUGGCUGCAUCUGUCUGCUUCCAUCAAGUGUUCCUGCAAGGGAGCCGUCUGCUGGGAAGGGCAGCAUGGGGGAGAAAUGGAGUUACUGGAUAGCCGCUGAGUUUUCUCAGAGGGGGAACUCAAGAGCACUUCAAGUUUAGAAUACCAUCCAGCUGUGGUAAGCAAAGGACGGGUGAAAGUGCAUUUCUGAGCAAGACUUCUGCAAGAACUGACCUUCCAGCAAUAAAACAGCUUAAUCCUUCAACAGCUCCCAUGGGGCUUGGGUGCUCAUUCAAACUCAGCAAAGGAGGUUCAGGUCCAUGGAGAGCAGGUGCUACUGGCUCUCUUGGGCACUACUGUGGUGGGGAAUUGUCUCUCCACCCCUAGUGUGCAAAAGUGUUCCCACCUGAAUACAGCACUGCUCAGCUCAAGGACCAGAGCACAGAUUUCAGGCUUGGCUUCCAAAGAUUCUGCUCAGGGGAGGAGACUGAGACAAGUAUGGGAGAAGGAGAAACACUGCUGCUGAAAUGCUAUGGCAUUUUGACAAAAGCUAUGCGAGGAGAUUCCAGAAACUUGCUUUAUGGUUUAAAAAGAAAAAAAAAAAAGCAAGCCCCAUUUCCAUUAGCCUUUUAUUUCCUGCUAAUUAUUCAGUACUCUUUCCAGUUUGGAGCAUGAAGCACCAUGGCCGCUUCAUCUCCUGCCCACCCGGAAUGUGCUGCUGGCUUUGUAGGUUAUCUGGGGUGCGGUGCAGGAGGAAGGGGGAAAAGGAAUGAUGGAAUUUAUUAUUAAUUUUGGAAGGAGAUAUAAAAAGUAAGCAUUAAAGUCUAUCCUAAAUACAAGGAUUCAGCUGACUGAGAGCUCAUCUGCUUCUAUCUCUUGGCUAAUCGUGAAGGCACUUCUGCUGUGUCACUUCAAAGGCUCAGCACAGCUGGGAGGGUUUUCAUCAAAGCUUCUGCAUGUCUGGGGGAGGUUUUCCCCCCCAUGAAUAUACAUCACUGGAGGCUCAUUUUCCCAGCUUUUCCCAUGCCUGUCUCUGAUUGAUCCUCAUUUCAUUCAGAUGAGUUCUUUCUCUCUGGAUGGCUAAAGGGCAAGAGACAGCUCUCUCCAAAGCUUUCCCACUUGCCUGAUGCCUCUCUGAAGCUUUUCCUCCCAUCAGAGUGGGGGAGGGAGGGAGCUGUUCAGACAAGAGAUUGAGCCUUUAAAUUAAAUUCUUGUCAUCUGAGGGCUGGGCCUGAUAGCAGCGGGGGUGGGAAGCAUUUUCUCCCAGUAUCGAGACUCUGGCCAGAUCCUCAUCUGGUGUAAAUGUGUAUCAGUGAACCGACCUCAGCAGUCAUGUGAUCUGAACUAUGAGCCUUAAAACACUGCCCCUCUGUAGCAGCUGGGUGAAAUCAGUCAGCAUCAUCCCCUGUGCUCUGCAGAGUACGUGAGCUCCACAGCCAAGGAACACUUGCUGAAGUUGCUCAAUUCCACAUCUUUUUUCACUGGGGAGGGAGGGCUGGGCAGCCUGGUGGAAUUUCAAACACUCAGCCACCCUCAGCCAGGCUGGGAUUUCACAAUAGCCCAGGCCCUGGGUGCACCCAGCACGUGCAAAGUGCUGGUGGAAACGCGGCCCCUCUCCUAAGCUCAGAAGUAAGCUCUGCCCUCUUGGAAAUUCUGGGCCUGGUGCCAUGCAGUUACAGCACGUCUCCUGGCUGGUGGCCAGGCCAGGAAGCCCAAACCUCACCUUGGCUUUUCCACCCUCUACUCUCUCACUGUUUAUUCCCUGGGGCCAAAAUGACCCCAGAAAUCCACAGGUCAAGACAGCGCUGGAGCAACUGGAAGCACUCCCUUAUACCACUGAUAAAGGAACUCAAUUUGAGUGAUACCACAUUGCUGGUGAUGCUUUUUUAAAGAAAUAUUACUAAUGUCCUCUGCAGUGACCCAUGAAAAUGAGACAGUCUUAAAGGGCAUCCAUCUGGUCAGUCCUCUCUUGCUCCAGUGACAUCCACAGCAUAUGGGGACAUCCCAAGGGCAGCAGAGCAGCACGGUGAGCAUGGACCAUCCACCAGCAAGUGUUAUGAGCAGAGCCUGCCUGUGUCCUUACAAAAGGAAACAUCCUCUCUUAGCUCAGAGUCCUGCCAGCCUGGAGCUCUCUGACAGGGGGAUCCAACAAAGUCCCUAAGGACAUGUCACCCUCCUGGGGACUCUUCCAACACCGCAGUGUCUGUUGGCACCUCCAAAUCCUGUCCAUCACAUUCAGUUCCAGACUGCUAUCCUCCCCUUCACAGUAAGAACCCCUCUGGAGAGCCAUACAGAGCCCACUCAGUUGUGCUGCUCCUGCAUGGGACUGGGACGUUUCUUCCCCCAGACCAUGAUGGGAUUUUCUCGCAUCCAUCCCCUGAAUGGUUAAUUGGAUCUUGAAUAGUUUCUCACUUCUUUCACUGGGAUGUGUGGUUGCAUCUACUUUGACACAAGCCCUUUUCUAAACUGCAAGUUGGCAACAAUAAAAAGGAGAAGUCUUUAAUUAGUUAUCUGGCUAAUUAACUUUUACAGCAGCAUAUCGCUUUGGCAUCCAAAUACUACAAUGCAAAACACUGCAAGCAUUCAAACAAAUGCUGCCCUCCCUGCCAGGAAGUGCAGCUGCCGCCACGAGUGGCUGCAGGAGAACAGCAUCUCGCUGCCUCAGCCAGAGAGCAUGGAAAUCCACCUCUGGGCACCCUACACACCCCCUUCUGCAGCUAACUCACCUAAUGAUGAUGUCCACAUUAAAGACACCGUACAUACACAGCUUCCCAAUGUCACGUGCUCCCUUCCCAGCACGUGCAUUCAUUUCACCAUUGAGUGAAAUCCACCGAAGACAAAAUGUGUUUCCUGCUUCAAAGGGGAUUGUAGAGAUCCCUGCAUCCCCUGUCCUGAAAGGGGAAGAAGAGC